CGGGCGGGGUGGUGGUUGCUUCCGCUGCUGGCAGCUCGAGAAGCGGUUCACCGCGGCUUCUUUCGCGUCUGAUCUUCCUGGCUCGUCUCCGGCUGAACAGCGCGACGAGGCGAAAGGGAGUCGCACGCGCGUUACAGGCGCGCAUCGCUGGUGGGGCUGGUAAGGGAUCCGAGGCAUUCAAAGCAGCCCUGCCAGGUGGCGCUGGAAGGCGGCUUGAGAACAGAAUACAAAACAAGAAUAACUUAUACAACAAUGAGAAAAAAAUUGAUUCUACAAGAGAUUCAAGCUGCAGUUGUAUACCCACAGACCUGGGAGUAAGCCCCAUUGAACUAAACUUUUGAGUAGAUGUGCAUAGCACAGGAGGGAAGCCUCUGGCCAGGUAAUGCACAAGGAUUCCCUUUGAAUCGUUCACUUCAGCCAAAGCAAACAAGGUUCUCUGAAUCCCAAGAAAGGAAAGAUGCAGAAUCGGAAUCCUGCCCCAGACAUGGACAUGUCUAGUUACAACACUGCCUGGGGAUAUAGCAUGGAUGCAUCAAGUACAUUACUAUGCACAGCUGAAUCACUUGAAGGCUUGUAAAUACCGUCAACCAUAUGAUCUGAGCUUUAGUUGGAUAUAUGAACUGAUGCUGCAGGUUGUUGAGUCACUGUGAGGACUUGCACCUGAACCCAGCCCUGCUGAUCUGGAAUGUGGAACAGCUGAAACAAAUUUUCCUGCUUUGGCUCCAUUGGCUUCAGAGCAGCAGCAUUAUUAUUUUUAACCUUUAGCAUUUUACAGCACAAUCCUAACCAUGCCUACUCUGUUGAAUUCAAUAGGGCUUAGUCCCAGGUAAAUGGAUUUAGGACUGUAGUUUUAGAGAGAGAAAUGCAAUACCGCACACAUUGUGGGGGGUGAUGAUCCUUUCCCAGGAAUGAGCUUUCCAAGACAUGGAGAUAAGAAUGAUCAUGUGUUAACAGAGGGGCAGCAAACUUUUUUUUCUGACUGAGGUCCACAUACUCUCAGGGGUAAUGUUUUUUUGGGGGGCUGCAUGCUGGCAAUGAGUGGGGGCAUAGCCACCCCACACUCUUUCUCUUUCAAGUUCACCACCAAAGGGAGUUGGAAUCCAGCAAUCUCUGGAGGACCACCGAUUCCUCUCCUCCGGAGCAGAUGGGCCUUUUAGUCAGAUUCAGCUGGGUGGUUAUGUUCUGUCUUGUUAUGCCUUGGAGCAGAUUCUGUCUUUAGUCUACCAAGAUUUAGAUCUGCUCUACAUACACACAGCAGACUGAAGCGGGAAUGAAUGACUAGAGGUCCAAGGUAGUUGAUUGGAACUACUGAGAGCUAUCAAGUGGCCCACGCUUUCCGCCUUGAGAUACGGGAGGGGACAAAGGUUUGGUGAGAAAAGGGAACAACAUGACAAUGCUUCCUCCCUUUGAGAUUUAUUUUGCAUCUUCCACGAUGGCUAAUAUCUGAAGUACAGGACCAUAAAUUACUCUUGUUUUCAUUCUAAAGAUUAAAUGAUAUCCAUCAGACCAUUUCCCUCAUACUAAAAGUAUUUUAGAACUAAUAUUGUGGCACACGCUUCCAGAGGCCAUGGUUGGUUUCUAUAAAGUGAUUUGUUUCUGUACAGUCUAACUUUUUAACACACUAACAAAGCCUUUCCCAAACGUUGGGCCCCCAGGUGUCCAGGUAUCGCUGGAUUACAACCAUCAGCCCCAGCCAGCAUGGCCAAUGAUCAGGAAUGAUGGGAACUGUAGUCCAGCAACAUCGGGGGACUCAAAAGCCGGGAAAGGCUGCUCCAAUCACUACAUCACACUUCUUGUACGAAGCCCUUAUAAUCAUAAGCAGGGUAUGUUCUUUUGGAGUUUGGGAAUUUGUUAUCAUUGUAGUUUAGAAAAAUGCCUAACCUUUGAGUUUCACACAAUAACAUGGCAUACCGCAUGAUGCUGCUGAGUUCAUUAAAUGCAGCUGGGACAACUGAGCAGGAUUUUCAAUGGAGCCACAAAAAAAACCAUUUGCUUUGUAAGUAAAAUUUAAGCCUUUUCUCUCUUUCUUUGCUUCUUAGAGCCUGGCUUUUCAGUAACAGCUGUGAGUUUGGAAAAUGUAGCUUCACACCAUUCAGAGCAGAGUCCUUUCCGCAGAUGUUUGCUAGACUGUGUCUAUGUGGUGCAAGCCAUUUAUAUUGCCUUGCCUUGACAGGGAUGGGGAACCCAUGUCUUUCUAGGUGUUAAAACCCCAUCAGCCCCAGCCAGCAUGGCCAAUGGUGCAGGAACAUCUGGAGGACCAUAGGUUUCCUAUUUCUGGUCUACAGCAUGCAUGGGUGAACUCACCGUUAGGACACUCCCGCACAAACACAUCAUACUAGUGGUGUUCAAAAAACAUCGCACACACUCAAUGAAUUAUUUGUUAAGGCACUUUGAGGGUAAAGUUGCUUGCCUCUGUAGUAGUCUUGACACCACAUCCUCCCCAGUAAGGUGUCCAGUGCAGCGUUUGCUACUCCCCCUGCUCAAAGCAGGAAUCCAAGCGAAUGCAUACCCUUUUGGAUUCCUUGUGACAUCUCUAGUUAUAAUCCAGAACCAGAGAGUAGAACUGUGACCAUGUUCUCUUUCCUCCUUUGCAAGUUUACUUGGGAAUUCAUUUUGGAAAAACUAGAAAGCUGAACUCCACAAAAUACAGUAAAAGCUCUAAAAACAGAUUCCUUUUAAAGCAGACUUUAUCUGCCAUCUGAGAAGAUUAUGCUUUUACAUGCAUUUGAGGCUGAAACAUUUCCACUUAGUUAGUUGAAAACAUAUUGUCUGAUUGAUAGGUACAUACUGAUAAAUUGUUGUUUGUUAUUUAUGGUGAUUAUAUGAGGUUUUUUUAUUUCACUGUAUUACGUCUGCAAUGAUGUAGGUCUUCUAUUUAAAGAUAAUAUUUAUUUAUCAUGCCAGGAGCGACUGGUGUCUAGGAAGGCUUCUAUCGGUAAAGUAAACAUGAGGUGCAGGCGAACAAAGUGUAAGUGAAAUGCUGUGUUUACGUUCAGUAUUGAAUUUCUAAUUUCAUUUCCCCAUUUUGUAAUAGAGGGGGAAAAACAAAACAAGAGUCAAGGAGAGUGGAUGGAAAUCCAGAACGUUAUGUACUAUAUAUGAUGCCUGUUGAUAGUCUUUGCAUAUUCCGGUUUUUUUGGCAGCAAUUUAUUCCUGAUAUGCUGGUGUUGACAGCAAGAGAGUUCAGAAUAUUCCUCAAACAAGAUUUAAAUGUAAGAAUUAUUAGGGAGGAGAAGCAAGAAAGAAAAAGUACCUACUGAUCAGAGAAAUUCUUCUGUUGACACCCUGCUAGCUCUACCUGUUUGGGUUUUCAUUAACUGAAGGUAAUACUAGUUCGGGGUAGAGAAUCUUUUUCAGCACGAGUGCUGCAAUCCCCUCUGGGCAGCCUUCUGUAAGGAGGCGGGGACACUUGCCUAUGGUGGGUGGGGCCAGAAGCAAAAGUAGGUGGAGCAAUGAAUUUUAACUUCACCUUUGCACAGCAUUUAUUUUACUUAGAACAUUUGCGGUAGGAUAAUUUCUACGCACCCUCACCCUCUCCUCUCUGUCUUCCAUCCAGGCAAACAGAAAGCAUCCUAAGAGGUCAGGGAUGCAUUUCAGUCAGGCAAAACCACUGUAAAGAGCAUGGCCUGAGGAGGGCAUGUAGUGUGGUGAGAGUCCCGAGGGCCAGGUAGAGAGGCUUGCAGGGCCACAUUUGGACCCCAGGCAUGAGGUUCCCCACCUCUGUACUAGAUAAAGAAUACUCAUGCCAAGAUGUGACACAGAUACUGGCCUGCUAAUAGUUGUUGACAGGGGAGUGUAGCUGUGUGCAAGGGCUGCACUCCCUCAACUGAUGCACAGGCGCCAGCUAUGACCCCUGCCCGAUGCACAUUUGGCCAAUGUGUGAAGUGCACCUACAUGCGUGCCAACCUAUGUGUGUAAAGUGCUCCACAUGCUGGGGGAAUCCUGAUUAGUCAGGAUCCUACCUCUUGUGAAGGUGUGCGAAGCAUAUAGGCUGGCCCACGCAUAGGGCCACGUCGCAUGUUGGCAGUGGACAUGGUCACUGUGUUCACUGGUGUGUGCGUGUGUUCAUAUAAGUGAAGGGUGUUCAUAUGAAUGCCCUUUAGGAAGCUGGCAAGUCCCAGGUCAGGGGACUCUGUAGGGGUGUGGAGAGCCCUGGAAUAGGCAUGAGAAAGAACUUGUUUAGACUCUCUGCUCCUCUCCAAACAGAUGCCCUGCCAGUGCACAGGUCAGGCAGCUUGAUGCAUCCCAACACAGAGCUAAAAGAAUUGCUGGCAAUCCUCUCCCCAAUCUGUUGGUGGCAAAUCCAUCAAUAUUUUAAUAGGUCCACCUUUGUACACAGUUGGGAAGUUAGGGGUUUAAACGCUAGAACAUGUGUAUAAAUUUGUACGCUUGAUCUUUCGUUACUCCUAGACCCCAGUGUUCUUUCCUGCCUGUCUUCCUGAACAGGCAGCAUGUUUCAGUCAGAGCUGGCCUUUGUUUCAACUCUGCCUAACACCCUGAAGUACAGCUUCCUGUUGUGUCAAUUUCACAGGCAAAUUCUUUAAGCAGAAGCUGAAGCUUGCCUUUUGAGUAAGUAGUUCCCAGCAGUAGUGGCCUGUGUGGUAGGGCAGAGCCAGGGAGUCAUCCUCCCAAGAUCGGUGUUGCUGCAGUUUAGCUGGAUGGGGUGGGGUAGGGCAGUGAGGUCUGGGUAUGCAGGUGCACCAUAGGAACAAAUCCAGUGCUCCCAUUGGUGCACCCAUGCAGCACUGACCUUGCCACUGUCCUGUCCUGGAGCAGUGAUGCCCCGCCACAUGGGAUGUUUCUGCUUUCCAGUAUCCAAAUUCAAGACUCCAGGCUCAUCUUCAGCUGGAGGUACCUAGCUAUGCUUUCUGAAAUCCAUGCUGUCAAUUUCCCAAAAGUGUAGAGAGAAAGAAACCUCUCAUUUUGGAUUCAUUUCUUGCUUCUUAAAAUGGAUCUU